rnacentral:RNase_P_RNA from 2 species
AUGUUUGGGUGAUCGCUGCCAUCAGGCAGAGGAAAGUCCAUGCUCGCACAAGCUGAGACGCUUGUAGUGUUCGUGCCAGACGAAAUCAUAAGUCUGGGUAGUGCUUUCAUGCACUAACGGCAGAGAAAAGACCUGUGUCCUUCUUUGGAUAUGGUCUGAUUAUCUUGAAAGUGCCACAGUGACGGAGCUGAAGUAGAAAUACUUCAGGUGGAACGAGGUAAACCCCUCGAGCGAGCAACCCAAACUUAGGUAGGGGCACUCUUUCAAAGGAAUCAAACGGAGAAAGAGGCUGAUGAACAUCAGCAGAUAGAUGAUUACCACCGGAGUACGAGGCUGACCACCGCUCGCAGUACAAAGGUACAGAACAUGGCUUACAAAG